rnacentral:lncRNA from 1 species
GACGACGUCAAAAUUUACGGGAACUUUUGUGGGGAUAGUUUAAUACUUGCUAACAAAUGCCAUUGACAAUUAUGAAUCAUUUUAUAGUACAACAAACAUGGAGUAGUAAUGAUCGUAAAACUCUUCCAAAUUUUCAAUGUUUCAAAAUGCCUCUAUAGGAAAUGUUACCAUAAAUAUAUAAGGAGUAUAAUGCUGUUGUUGGACAACUAUAGUAUAUUUGAUUCAUAAUUUUAAUUUUCUUUAUAAAAUGUUUGACUGUUUUAGUUAUUGCAUUAGUCUAUUUGCCUUACAUAAAACUAUUGUCGGAAGUAUAUGAUAAAGCGAUUAAUACAUGGCCUUUUCCAUAUCAGCCUGGGUAUCAUCCCUCGACCCAUAU